CUUAACUAAUGAGUCACACGGAAACGAAGAAAUGGGCCCAGGACAGGCAACUUUUGAUAAGGAAGAGGAAAAGAAAGUAAAAUUUGGUGAAAGCUGGGAGUGAUGCCUGGAUGGAGGCAGGCAAUGGAAGUCUUUGAGAAGUGUGGAUGGCAGUGGCAAGGACGAUGGCCAAGAUGGGAGAAAGGCCAAUGGGGCCAGAGGCUAGUAAACGGAGAAGGAGAUUAUCUUUUUAUUUUCCAGAUGUCUCACUGUGUCUUAGAAUCCGCUGUUAUGCUGAGAGAGCACAGGGAAAUGGAAUCAGCACUGUGCUGUUCGGACACUCAAACUGACCUAGAGGACUUGAAUGUGAAGAAAAACUGACGCUCUUGCUAAAGUCCAGCACUAGCUUGACAGCCAUGUGAAUGAACCUCAUUGGAACUGGGAUCUCUGGCUCUGGUUAAUCCUUCACCUGACUUCAGCUGUGGCCAACAUCUUUUUUUUUUUUUUUUCCAAGAUGGAGUUUCCCUCUCGUUGCCCAGGCUGGAGUGCAAUGGUUCAAUCUCAGCUCACUGCUACCUCCGCCUCCCAGGUUCAAGCGAUUCUCCUGCCCCAGCCUCCCAAGUAGCUGGGAUUACAGGCAUGCACCACCACACCCGGCUAAUGUUUGUAUUUUUAGUAGAGACGGGUUUCUCCAUGUUGGUCAGGCUGGCCUCAAACUCCCGACCUCAGGUGAUCCACCCACCUUGGCCUCCCAAGGUGCUGGGAUUACUGGUGUGAGCCACCGUGCCCGGCCUGUGGCCAACAUCUUGGUGGUAACUUCAUGAGACACCCUGAGACAAAAACAGCCAAGAUGCUCCCAAAUUAUUAACCAUUGAAACUGUGAGAGAUAAUGGUGCUUAUUGUCAUUUUAAGCUACUAAGUCUGGGGAGUAAUCUGUUAAAUUGCAAUAGAUAACUAAUAAAGUUGUGGACUCACCCCUGCUACCAGGACUUUUGGGAGCUUCUUGGUUUCUUUUUGUUUCUUCAGUAUCUGUCACUCUUCCGUUUGGCUCUGUAAGCUUCUCUCCCUCCAACUCCAUUCUGCCAAAGUCAGUUUCAAGUGCUUGCUAUUAAAGAAGAUAAUUUUAAAACAGUAGAGAUUAUUAACUGAAACCAAACUAAGGGAAAUAAUGUAUUUUUUGUUUCCUUGCUUGGUUGGUCUGGUCUUGAGAAAUUUCAAUUCAAUGUCUUGGUCUACUGUGGAUUUUAUUUUAGUUGUUUAAAUUGUAGUGUUAUGUAUCCACAUGGUUCACACAUAGGGAGCUGGAAGAUUGCACUUCCUCUAUCGGCAUUGCACAAGUCAAGUGUGAUUUACCACUGAUACAUAUGUCUCUUGAUGAAUAUUCUGAGGUUAUGCAGCCACUCUUUAUCACAUAUCAUUUAUAAAGAAUGAUGUGAUAAUCAGCUAUAAAGAAUGCAACAGUAAGCUUGUAAAAGGAAACUAAAUGCCUGGUAAUUAAGAAAUAUAUACGUUAUAGAUUUAAUUGUUGAAUAGUUAUGUUGAUUUAUCCCACACAAGUGGAUCUUUCAGAUUUAUAACUUGGUGUGCCCUGAACUUUAGCAUGUUACUCUCAUGAGUCUGUGAUGCUAUUUUAUUCUUCUUUACCUAUUUGUAUAAACUGGUAAAAAAAUUCAAGGACAAAAAAACUCUACAUACAAUGAAAACACAUGCCCAUUAUUUUAAAUAGAAUGAUUUUGUUUAGUAUGUUAAAAAUAGCAAUAUAAAAGAAAAGCUUUAACUAAGCUUGUCUAUUACAAUCAAAUUUGUUUAGUGUGUUAAUAAUUUUAAACCGUUAAUGAAACAAUCAGAUGUCUACUUUUAAGAAAAAUUUACAAAUGAUUUUUUUUUUAAAAUAUGCUUCCAUAUGAGUUAGGAGACAGAAAUGAACUUGACUAUUCCCUUCAUUCUAAAAUUAGGAAAUAAUUGGGAUUUAUAUCAAUGGUGAUGCCUUUCAAUGUCCAAGCUGGUAGAAUGAAGGCACAAUGGAAGUUAGAAGUCAAAAUAAAUGGACAGUAUGCUAUUUUAGCCAUUUUAAGUACAUCUGGCAAUACAAUAAUUUAUUGGUCAUUUUGAUAGACUAGUGAGACAAUUGGUAAAUUGAUAGAAGAUUGAUUUAUCAAUUUCUGAAUCUCAAUUUUAAAUUACAGUAUAUAUAAAAACUAUUUUAAGAAAUGUUCUAAAAUAUAUACCCUUUUUUAAUACUUUUAAAAUCUCAAAAUAGAAUAACUUAAAGGUCAUUGUCCUGAUUCUAACAUAGAUUCCAAGAUAAUUAUUUAACAGACUCUAAGUAUCAGUUGAAAUUUUAUGUAUGUAAGGGAAAUGUUUCACAUCAGUGAUUUUUCUAGUGCUUAUCUGGACACUGAAGGGAAGUUCACCAGAGAUGAUCUACAUAGGAAAUCCUCUGCAGAACCCCCACCUUAAUGUUGACAAAGCUACAUUACUUAUUAUAUCUGUUUUUCUAUCUUGGUCUUCUAUAAAGGACUUCAAUUUAAAAAAAAAGUGCUUUGGGAAAAAGAAAACACUGAAAAACCACUGAUACUGAUGGUCUUAAGAAUAUGUGUGCACAUCGUAAAAACAAAUAAAAAUCCCAACUUCCAUUUAUUUUAUAAGUCAGAUGUAGCUGGACAACAGACCUACUAAUAGUCUUCUUUAAAAACGUUUACACUUUAUAUGAUUUUGAAUAUCUCAAACUGAAUUUGGCUGAAUUCGACAACUUAGCAUUUUCAGGCAAGCUAAAGCUAACCUAUCUUGAAAUACAUACUUUUCAACAUAUUAAACAAAAACAUAUAUAUUUUUUAACAGUAUUCAAAGAUUUAAGAUUGCCUAUUUAAUCUUACCUCUUAGAUUUUGGUACUUUGAUGCUUGUAUGGUUUUCUUCUGUUGGGAGUCAGAACAAAAUACCCCAAACUAUGUUAACUUAAGAUGCUGAGUACUUUGAACUGAAGGAGAUUGGAAGGGCUGUAGAAGCAAGGACUCUGACCUUCUUCCAUCCUCUUCUCUCCAUCUGCUCCAUUAUCCCCUAAGUGAGUCAUAGAAACUAGAAUUUCUCUCCCUCAGAGCAAGGCUUACAACCUAGGAAGGUCUCUGAUUUUCUCCCUUCCUCCUGAAAGUCCUCAAUGGAACAAGUAACCUGCUCCAUAUUGGGGGGUUAGGGACAUGGAUAUCUUACAGAGAGAGAGAAAAAAAUCAGAACAAACAGGCCUUCCUGGGUUCCCCACUCAGUUUAUUACCAUUCAGUUAUACUCUUUUUGUUUAAUCAUGUUUCUCCAUAACUAUCUACCUGUCUUAUCAAACUUAGCAUUAAAACAGUUUUCUCUGGGUCUCUGGGCCUUCACUUCUGAAGGCUCCCAUGUCUCAUAAAACCUUGCUAAAUGAAUUUGUUAUGCUUUUCUCUUGCUGACCUGUCUUUUGUUAUAGUAUUGACCAUUACCCUUGUGGUAGGUGGGGAAGAUAUAUUGCUUUUUUCUCCUUUCUACUUUCAUGUAGUUAAAAGUAAAUGAGAAAUAGGUACUUUAGCUAUACUUCCUUGCAAUAUGUUUCAGUGAUUGUUCUAGAGAUUAUAAUAUAUGUCCUUCUUAACAGUCUACAUAAUAUUGUACCACUUCAUGUAAAAUGUGAAAACCUUGCAACAUUAUAGUUUCAUUCAUCCCUUUUCUUUGUGAUAUUGUGUGUUCUGCAUGUAUGUAUUGCAUGUACAUGCAUUAAAAGAUCUAAAAUUCUGUUUUAAUUUUUACUUUAAAGAAUAAUAUUUUUAAAGAAAUAAAAGAAGAAAAAUGUAUAGUCUUUUAUAUUUUGCCCAAAUAUUUAACAUUUCUGUGCUCUCUUUUCUUCCUGUCAAUCUGAAUUUCCAUCGCUAUAAUUUUCUUUUGACAUGAAAGGUUUAUUUUGCCAUUUUUGCAAUACAGGUCUGUUUCUGAUUAAUUCCUUCUGUUUUCAUUUAUCUGAAAAUAUCUUUGGUUCACCUUCAUUUUUGAAGACUAUUUCACCUGGAUAUAGAAUUUUUAAUUCACAGGGUUUUUUUUUUCUUUCAAUACUUAAAGAUGUCAUUGCAUUUACUUUUUUUACUGUAUUGUUUCUCACAAGAAAUAAACUGUCAUAAUGUGACAUGAUUAUGUUCCCAUGAACAUAAUGUGCCAUGAUUUUUUAUUUGCUCUAAAGACUUCCUCUUUAUCUUUGGUUUUUGUCCGUUUGUUUAUAAUGUGUCUGGACAUGGUUUUCUUUGCAUUUAUCCUAUUUGGUGUUCUCAUAGCUUUUUUGGCUCUUUAAGUUGAUGUUUCUAACCAAAUUCAGAAAAUACUGGCUAUCAUUCUUUAAAUAUUGUUUACUGCUUUAUUCAUAUUCUGUCUCUUCUUUCCCCCCACCCCUUUUCUCCUCUUCUUGUAAGACUUCAAUUAUGUUUGUGUUAUAAUUUUUGGUAUUGUCCCACAGGUUCAGCACUGUUCAACUUUUUACCUUAUUUUUUCUCUAUUCUUCAAAUUACAUAAUUACAUAUUGCUUUGUUAUUGAACUCAAUUACUUUUUAAAUGUUGUCAAUCUAUGAUUAACGCUAUCAAGUAAAUUUUUAUCAAAUAUAAUACUUUUCAAUUCUAUAAUUUCCAUUUCUUUCACAUGAUAGUUUUCAUACCUAUUCUGAGAAACCCCAUCUGUUCAUUCAUCAUGAUCAUAUUAUCCUUUAAAAUGUUUAUAAAACCUGCUUAAAAUCUUUGUCUGCUAAUUCCAACAUCUGUAUAUUUAGUACUGAUUUAUAUAGAUUGUGUUUUCUUUCAACUAUGAGUCACCUUUUUUCAUUUCUUUUUAAUAUGUCUAGUAAUUUUUUGUUAUAUGCUGGGCAUUAUAAGUCUUAAAUUAUAGGGCAUCUAGAAUCGUGUUGUCUUCCUUAAACAAUUGCCUUUUUAAGUGUGACAGCUAAAUCACUGGUGGAUGCUUUUGAUUUUGUCUUAUGUAGAUUUAUUCUUUUUAAUGGCUUUAUUUAUAUUUAGUUUUUAGUUAUUAAGUUCAGCCUAAGGCAGUCCCUUGCCUAGGGCAUGGUCCUUACUCUUUAGAUAUGAUUUAUCUGAAUCUCAACUGAAUGACAAUUGAGAUCUCAUCACAUUGGCUGGCUGCAAUUCCAGUGAAUUCCGGCAGUAUAUGUACUGUAGUAUUACUACUCAGUUCUCAGCCCUGAAAAAAAAAAUCUUAGCUAGGUUUUGUGAAGCCUCACUUUGCACAUACAUAGCCCAGUCCUUGGCCAAGGACUCCAAUUAAUCCCCACACACACUGCUGGGGCCCCUUUUAGCAUAGCUUGAUCUUCUUAGUUAACAUGCCUUGCAAAUUUCAGAUGUUUUCACAUCCUGGAUCACCAAUCUCUCCCUUUUCAAAUCACUGAGACCAUUAAUCCUGUAAGUUCCAUUUUCCUGCCAUUGAGAAAGCUGAAGUGUCAUUGGAGUGAUCACAGGGCUCACUUCUUGUGUUCCUCUUCUUUCAAGGUCUAUAAUUUUGUCCAGCCUAUUGAUUAAUUCCUGCAAAUGAUGGCUUCAUAUAUUUAUUACCAUUUUAUAAUUCCUUUAGGUCAGAGGUCCUCAUCUGGUUACUCUGUCAUAGUUAAAAUAUGAAGUCAUUUUCAAAUAGAUAUUUUAAACCAGCUUUCUGUAACAUUUCUGUACUUCUCUAACAGUAAAAUCAGAUAGCAUGCUAACAUUUUUUAAUAACCCUGUUGGAAACAAGCAAAAACCUAAUAACAAGGAAAAACCUAAUAACCCCCAAUAAACACACACGUCAUAUGUAUUUCAAAAAAGAGACGUUUCUUAUUUUUUCUUUCUGGGUAUAACACAUAUUAACUCUCUUUUGAUAAAAACAGAUUAAUAUACUUGUGCUUCACAAUUUGAUUAAUGCUAAUAUUUUAUAUUUAUACACAUACAAAAAUAGAAAUAUGUCAUGGGGAGUCUAUAUACUUAUAUUUAUGUGCUAUGUUAUACAUUAUGUUGUAAAAUAUGUAUUUCUUUAGAGAAGAAGAGGAACUCAAUUAUUCUGAUAUUUUAGCAAAUCACUUCUGUAUAGAGUUUAAAAAUUAUGUGUAAUUCAGAUAGAGACCAUUGUUUCUUAAAGACAAGCUUCAACUUACCAAUCAAUUUCCACCAGGACCUUUGCUUUCAGUAGACAAAAACUCAAUAAAUGACUUUGCCAUUAAUAUUUCUGUUUAUAUAAUAGAAUAGCAAUCUACUGAAAAUUUACAACUAUACUAAAAAUCCAGAAUGUGGCAUCUCGGGUAUUAUAACUAAAAUUUAAAUAAGAAUAUCACUUGAAGGGGUUUUAAAAGUAUUUACAACAUAUUUUAUAGAUUGUUGCUAAGAGGUUUACACAAUUCAUCUUACAGGUGUAGACACAUUAAUGAAUGUGAGGGUAUUAAUUUUCCUCUAGCAUUUAAAAUUUAUUAUUAGCUUGGUUUGGCAGUGAGAAGUUAAAAGGGCUUCAAGGUCCACAUGAAAUGGUUUUUAAGUGCAUUGGGAAUGAUGAGUUACAUUAAUUUUAGAUUCACCAAGUUCUUUUACAGGCUCUGUGUUGUCAAUGUUAAAGUUUUUAAAUCAGAAUUUCCUUUGAUGAAUGCCUCACUGAAACACAAAAAAAGCUAAAACAGGUAUUUAACAAACAAGAAAAUAUAUUAGGCCAGUAAACUUCUGAUAUUUUAGCAAAUCAAAAGUGCAAUAUUUUAAACAUUCCCAUCAAUAAUUAGGUAUGUGCAAAAUAAAACCAUAAUGAGGUAUUACCUGCCCAACAGAUAGACAAAAAAUUUUUUAAAGUUUAACAAUACCAAAUGUUGGCUGGGGCGUGAAGCAACAAAAAACUUUAAUAAACUACUUCAGUGAGUGUAAAUUGGUGCAAUCACUUUGGAAAACAAUCGGGCAUUUUUUAGUAAAAUUGACUGUAUACUUACCCUACAACCUUGCAAAUCUACUCAAAAUAUACACUCUCAGAUGGUGGUGGGUACUAACAUCAUGAUACGUAAACAAGCUCAGUGAUAGCAGCAUUGUUUGCAAUAGACAAAAACUGGGAACAAUUCAGUAUCUAUCCACAGCAUAAUGAAUAUGGAAAUUGUGUUAUAUUCAUAUAUUGAAAUAAUAUAUUACAACAAAAUUAAGUGCAACUACUCAAAAGAACAUGGAUUAAUUUCUCAAACAUAACAUGGAGUGAGAGAAGGGAAACAGUCUUAAAAUAAUACAUACUGUGUUAUUCAUAUAAAACUCCAAAGAGUCAAACCAAACUAUAUUGUUUAGGAAUACAUCAGUGGAAAACUUAGAGAAAAAAAAAAUACUGUACUGUAGAGUAUUUUAGAAGUCAGGAGAGUGAUUACUACCAAGGAAGAGGACAGAGAAUUGAAGAAUGGUAUGCUGAGGCUUCUGGGUGGCUGGCUGAUAUUUCCAGUGGUGUUUCUUAAUAACAACUCAUUAU
rnacentral:lncRNA from 10 species